GAUGAACGCUAGCUACAGGCUUAACACAUGCAAGCCGAGGGGUAACAAGAGAAAAGCUUGCUUUUCUUGUUGACGACCGGCGCACGGGUGAGUAACGCGUAUCCAACCUGCCUAUAACUAGGGAAUAACCUUGCGAAAGUAAGACUAAUACCCUAUGAUUUCCUUUGAUGACAUCAGAUUAGGAAUAAAGAUUUAUCGGUUAUAGAUGGGGAUGCGUCUGAUUAGCUUGUUGGCGGGGUAACGGCCCACCAAGGCAACGAUCAGUAGGGGUUCUGAGAGGAAGGUCCCCCACAUUGGAACUGAGACACGGUCCAAACUCCUACGGGAAGCAGCAGUGAGGAAUAUUGGUCAAUGGGCGGAAGCCUGAACCAGCCAAGUAGCGUGCAGGAUGACGGCCCUAUGGGUUGUAAACUGCUUUUAUACAGGAAUAAAGUUAGCCACGUGUGGUUAUUUGUAGGUACUGUAUGAAUAAGGACCGGCUAAUUCCGUGCCAGCAGCCGCCGUAA
rnacentral:rRNA from 1 species